rnacentral:pre_miRNA from 1 species
AGGGGGAGGUCGGAUCCUGGACUGUGUCCCUGUCGCCCUGUGUUCCCAGGCCUGCCCUGUUGGAUUCACGCACCUGGCCACGCAGCCCCCU